CCUACGGGACGCACCAGUGGGGAAUAUUGGACAAUGGGCGAAAGCCUGAUCCAGCAAUGCCGCGUGUGUGAAGAAGGUCUUCGGAUUGUAAAGCACUUUCGACGGGGACGAUGAUGACGUUACCCGCAGAAGAAGCACCGGCUAACUCCGUGCCAGCAGCCGCGGUAAUACGGAGGGUGCAAGCGUUAAUCGGAAUUACUGGGCGUAAAGCGCACGCAGGCGGUUUGUUAAGUCAGAUGUGAAAUCCCCGGGCUUAACCUGGGAACUGCAUUUGAGACGCAUAGACUAGAGGUCGAGAGAGGGGUGUGGAAUUCCCAGUGUAGAGGUGAAAUUCGUAGAUAUUGGGAAGAACACCGGUGGCGAAGGCGGCAACCUGGCUCGAUACUGACGCUGAGGCGCGAAAGCGUGGGGAGCAAACAGGAUUAGAUACCCCGGUAGUC
rnacentral:rRNA from 1 species